rnacentral:rRNA from 1 species
UACAGAGGUCUCAAGCGUUUGUUCGGGAUUCAUUGGGGCGUAAAGGGUGCGUAGGUGGCGCCGUAAGUUCAGGUGUGAAAUUUCGGAGCUUAACUCCGAAACUGCAUUUGAUACUGCGGUGCUUGAGGACUGGAGAGGAGACUGGAAUUUACGGUGUAGCAGUGAAAUGCGUAGAGAUCGUGAAGGAAGACCAGUGGCGAAGGC